CCUACGGGGGGCAGCAGUGGGGAAUCUUGCACAAUGGGCGAAAGCCUGAUGCAGCGACGCCGCGUGCGGGAUGAAGGCCUUCGGGUUGUAAACCGCUUUCAGCAGGGAAGAUAAUGACGGUACCUGCAGAAGAAGCCCCGGCCAACUACGUGCCAGCAGCCGCGGUAAUACGUAGGGGGCGAGCGUUGUCCGGAUUUAUUGGGCGUAAAGAGCUCGUAGGUGGUUUGGUAAGUCAAAUGUGAAAUCUCCACGCUCAACGUGGAGGGGCCAUUCGAUACUGCCAUGACUUGAGUUCGGUAGGGGAAUGUGGAAUUCCUGGUGUAGCGGUGAAAUGCGCAGAUAUCAGGAGGAACACCCGUAGCGAAGGCGGCAUUCUGGGCCGAUACUGACACUGAGGAGCGAAAGCGUGGGGAGCGAACAGGCUUAGAUACCCCAGUAGUC
rnacentral:rRNA from 1 species